GAUGAACGCUGGCGGCGUGCCUAAUACAUGCAAGUCGAGCGAACGGACGAGAAGCUUGCUUCUCUGAUGUUAGCGGCGGACGGGCGAGUAACACGUGGAUAACCUACCUAUAAGACUGGGAUAACUUCGGGAAACCGGAGCUAAUACCGGAUAAUAUUUUGAACCGCAUGGUUCAAAAGUGAAAGACGGNCNUGCUGUCACUUAUAGAUGGAUCCGCGCUGCAUUAGCUAGUUGGUAAGGUAACGGCUUACCAAGGCAACGAUGCAUAGCCGACCUGAGAGGGUGAUCGGCCACACUGGAACUGGGACACGGUCCAGACUCCUACGGGAGGCAGCAGUAGGGAAUCUUCCGCAAUGGGCGAAAGCCUGACGGAGCAACGCCGCGUGAGUGAUGAAGGUCUUCGGAUCGUAAAACUCUGUUAUUAGGGAAGAACAUAUGUGUAAGUAACUGUGCACAUCUUGACGGUACCUAAUCAGAAAGCCACGGCUAACUACGUGCCAGCAGCCGCGGUAAUACGUAGGUGGCAAGCGUUAUCCGGAAUUAUUGGGCGUAAAAGCGCGCGUAGGCGGUUUUUUAAGUCUGAUGUGAAAGCCCACGGCUCAACCGUGGAGGGUCAUUGGAAACUGGAAAACUUGAGUGCAGAAGAGGAAAGUGGAAUUCCAUGUGUAGCGGUGAAAUGCGCAGAGAUAUGGAGGAACACCAGUGGCGAAGGCGACUUUCUGGUCUGUAACUGACGCUGAUGUGCGAAAGCGUGGGGAUCAAACAGGAUUAGAUACCCUGGUAGUCCACGCCGUAAACGAUGAGUGCUAAGUGUUAGGGGGUUUCCGCCCCUUAGUGCUGCAGCUAACGCAUUAAGCACUCCGCCUGGGGAGUACGACCGCAAGGUUGAAACUCAAAGGAAUUGACGGGGACCCGCACAAGCGGUGGAGCAUGUGGUUUAAUUCGAAGCAACGCGAAGAACCUUACCAAAUCUUGACAUCCUUUGACAACUCUAGAGAUAGAGCUUUCCCCUUCGGGGGACAAAGUGACAGGUGGUGCAUGGUUGUCGUCAGCUCGUGUCGUGAGAUGUUGGGUUAAGUCCCGCAACGAGCGCAACCCUUAAGCUUAGUUGCCAUCAUUAAGUUGGGCACUCUAAGUUGACUGCCGGUGACAAACCGGAGGAAGGUGGGGAUGACGUCAAAUCAUCAUGCCCCUUAUGAUUUGGGCUACACACGUGCUACAAUGGACAAUACAAAGGGCAGCGAAACCGCGAGGUCAAGCAAAUCCCAUAAAGUUGUUCUCAGUUCGGAUUGUAGUCUGCAACUCGACUACAUGAAGCUGGAAUCGCUAGUAAUCGUAGAUCAGCAUGCUACGGUGAAUACGUUCCCGGGUCU
rnacentral:rRNA from 1 species